UGUAAUAUAUAAGCUGUUCUCAAAGAAAUUAGUAAAAUUUAAAUGUAACAUCAGGACUUACAUUUUCAUACAUCUUUCUAACAGAUCAGAAUACAAGAACAUGAGAUUGUGCUGUGCCCUUACAAUACUGGAAGUCACUGGAUUCUUGUGAUUGUGAAAAUGUGUGAAAAUACUGUGGUCCUGAUUGAUCCACUGGGCGAGGAGGACAAGUAUAGCAGAGGAAUUUUAAGAAACUGGAGAACAGUACCUUACAAGUGGAUCAAUUGAUCAGGUGGAAACCAGCCCAGCAUCUAUAAGAGCACAAAGACUGGAGAUUGCUGGCCUCCUUAUGGAAAAUCAGGGUAACACAUUACUGUGUGAAGGUUUAAAACAAC